rnacentral:rRNA from 1 species
GAACCAUCGAAUCUUUGAACGCAUAUUGCGCUCGACUCCUCGGAGAAGAGCAUGUCUGCCUCAGCGUCGGUUUACA